UCGCGGCGUUGUGGGGGAUAAGACCCUCUGGGACCUCCGCAAACCCCCGCUCGCCCCGUAUUGCUCUGCUCCGCCAUCGGGAGGAUCCACCACCGCAGCGCAACCCGCACCAUCGCCAUCGGCGCCGCGUCCACGAUUUAGUACUCGGGUGCCUCGCCGUGCUUCGGGGAUAGGACCGGGGCCUCGCUACGGGAGAAGGGCGGCCGGUGACCUCGGAUUUCGUCGACCCUGGCGGCGGCGAUUGCUCACCGUCGCGGUGUUGUCGCCGCGGAAGCACUGCGCGCGGGAGCAGCUUCACCAACCUUCCUAACGCCGGUAAUGACCCUCCCAUCGUGUUCACUGUCGAUCGCUCAUGGAUAUGCACUAGAAAUCGAGUCGGGACUGACUCUGGGGGCCGGAGCAGGGCGCACGACGGCGAAGGACCGCCGUAGGGUGUGGGCGGCGCCGCCGUGACCCGGUAGCUCAGGGUAGGGGGCAGUGGGACCGUCUGAUCUUAUCGGACGGUCUAGGUUCGAACCAGCGUGAGCCGUUGAUGCGGGGAUGGUCGACCCAGAUCAGGACUCCCAUACCGCUUCGCGUCAUUUAAUCUGUGCCGUUGAUCGUCGAAUCCACGAUCCGUAUCGGGUUUCGCUAUUUUCAAUCGCUACCAUCGAUUCCGGAUCCAGCGGGCCGGAUGGCGUACCGGUUCGCUUAGAUGUAGGUUUAAUCUGGCGCGCCCAAGUCUAAUCCAACGGCCGAGGCUCGCCCAUACCGCUUCAUUGGCCGUUUUGCUAAAGAGCCCUUCGCUUAUUAGAUAAUAAACCCGCCGUCCUGUGCGGGUGUAGUUUGUGCCUUGGGGAUUCUUACCCCGAGCCCCCUGGGUUUCUCUGGAAUUGAGGCCCAGUCCAGUGAGCAUUUAAAUUGAAUAAAUAAAAUAGAAAAUAGAUUUUUAAUACAAAAAUAAUUGCUAGAACUUAGAUAAUUCAUAGAAAAUUCAUUUUAGCUCCAAAUUGAACCAUUCCAGUUUCUAAAAUUUUGUAAUAAUAUUCUUCAUCAUUUUGUGCCUCUGUUUUGGCAUGAAAGGCUCAUUAAAAUUUAUCUAAUACUUAAUCUUGUACUAAACACAUAAAACAUUAGAAAAUCCAUAACUUAAAAUCUAUAACUCCAAAAUUAAUGAUCCUGUUCCUAUGAUCUUAUUUUAAUAUGUAUAUUAAUAAUGUGUAUUUUGUUCUUAUGUUUGGUGUAAUGUUAAUCUUGCCUAUACACUGUUUGUUGUAUUGCUACGACUAGUGCGAGGUCACGAGUCAUCUGAAGAUCAUCCUGGUACCUGGAUUCUCAAGGCCCAGGCAAGUUGUGCCCUUGAUCACUUCUUUUUACCCACUCAUGUUCUGAUUAAUCAUAAUGAUCUGCAUAGGUUAAUUUUGAUGGGACCCAACAGGUUACCUAGUUUGAUUAUCUUUAUACCUUGUUCACCACUGAACUUUCUGGGUAGUACUUGCUAGUGCUAUAUGUGGUUUUGGGUAUGGAGAUACACUAUUCAUGGUUACACUUUUGUUAUCAGUUAUUAUUUAUUGUUCAUAUUGAGAUCAUUAUGUUAAUUGGAACAUGGAGAACCACCCGGGAAAACAGUGCUACCACAAGGGUUUAAUGGGACGCCCUUGGCUGAUUAAUUAGGAAAGCUAGUGGAAGACUACCUUACCCGAAAGGGGCAAGGGCAGUAGGGGAGAGGUCAGUGCGGGAAGUGCCCUCGGGAGGAUUUUGCUGUGAUGGCGGUCCUGCAAGGGAUUCCUGGGAAGGCCCUCGGGAGGAUUUUGCUGUGAUGGCGGUCCUGCAAGGGAUUCCUGGGGAGGCCCUCGGGAGGAUUUUGCUGUGAUGGCGGUCCUGCAAGGGAUUCCUGUACUGGAUCUUCCUAUAAACUGUAGCGGGUUUUCGGAAGCUAGUGGAACUUUGUAAAGGCCUCGUAGUGGAUCCCUAGCCAUUCACCUUGGAAGUGUCUAAGGGCCUUGCAAACCCUGGCGACAUGGGAUACACGACUUGUGGGUAAAGAUGCGCAACCUCUGCAGAGUGUAAAACUGGUAUACUAGCCGUGCUCACGGUCAUGAGCGGCUCGGACACUCACAUGAUUAAUUUAUGGAACUAAACUCAAUUUGUCAUAUGCAUUGCAUUGCAGGUGAUGUGGUUACUUUUGUUCUACUACUUAAUUGGGUUUGGUAUUUACUUAUACUUAGUAACUGCUAAUAAAAUUUUGACCAACUUUAAAAGCAAUGCUCAGCUCUAACCAUCUUCUUUGGUAAGCCUUACACUUCACGUGAGCUCCCACCUUUGGCGAGUUCAUGCACAUUAUUCCCCACAACUUGUUGAGCGAUGAACGUAUGUGAGCUCACUCUUGCUGUCUCACAUACACCGCAGGUCAAGACCAGGUACUGCAGGAUGAUGCUCAUGGAGGAUGCCGCGAUGAGUUCGUGAGAGGUCUAGGUCGUCGUCUCCCAGUCAACUUUGGGUUGCUGGACCGUUGUCUCCUUAUAAUUAUUUAUUUUGUAUAGAACUCCUGUGAUAUAUAAUGUUGUGACAUUCGAUCCUGUGCCACUAUACAUCAUAUGUUUGAGACUUGGUCCCAGCAUACCUGGUGUUUAUGUUAACCCCGGGUUUUGGACCCCUAAAAUCCGGGUGUUACA
rnacentral:lncRNA from 1 species